rnacentral:rRNA from 1 species
AUUGAACGCUGGCGGCAUGCUUUACACAUGCCAGUCGAACGGUAACAGCACUUCGGUGGCUGACGAGUGGCGCACGGGUGAGUAAUACAUCGGAACGUGCCUAGUAGUGGGGGAUAACUACUCGAAAGAGUAGCUAAUACCGCAUGAGAUCUAAGGAUGAAAGCAGGGGACCUUCGGGCCUUGCGCUACUAGAGCGGCUGAUGGCAGAUUAGGUAGUUGGUGGGAUAAAAGCUUACCAAGCCGACGAUCUGUAGCUGGUCUGAGAGGACGACCAGCCACACUGGGACUGAGACACGGCCCAGACUCCUACGGGAGGCAGCAGUGGGGAAUUUUGGACAAUGGGCGCAAGCCUGAUCCAGCAAUGCCGCGUGCAGGAUGAAGGCCUUCGGGUUGUAAACUGCUUUUGUACGGAACGAAAAGCCCUCUUCUAAUACAGGAGGGUCAUGACGGUACCGUAAGAAUAAGCACCGGCUAACUACGU